rnacentral:lncRNA from 1 species
GCCACUCGUUCACUGUGCGCUCUCGAAACGUACCCCCAACGAACCUAUUUGAGGACAUUUGGUUACGAUCUCAAUCGUCGUGUUCCAGCACAACUGUCAUCAAUAUGACUCGGAAUGCAAGAUUCUUUAUAUUCCAUAUAUCUAGCAACAACACAACGCAACGCGAUAUUGCAUUUCCUCAUCAUGAACAAACCCGUUGGCCUAAAUCGUUUUUUGAAGUUACUUGCAUCACACACACGACGCUGAAUUAUAUACUUUUGUGUCUACUUGGCAAUUCAUAGAUAGAUCACAUCACCUAAAGUUGCAAUUCCUUUUAUGGAUUGGUCAACAACACGCAAGACUCUUUUGAUCCAUUGAUUUCAAUUUUCCACCAUUGCUCUAUACAAAAAAAAAAUGAAAAGUUUUAAUAACUUCUUUAAGUACACCUCAGAAAGCUUUUAAAAGAGAAAUGAUACAAUCCAACAAAUAAAUAAAAUAUGUGAUCUUUUAGUGCUCUACUACUCUGCUC